rnacentral:rRNA from 1 species
AUUGAACGCUGGCGGCAGGCCUAACACAUGCAAGUCGAACGAGUGGCGGACGGGUGAGUAAUGUCUGGGAAACUGCCCGAUGGAGGGGGAGAACUACUGGAAACGGUAGCUAAUACCGCAUACCAUCGGAUGUGCCCAGAUGGGAUUAGCUAGUAGGUGGGGUAACGGCUCACCAAGGCGACGAUCCCUAGAUGGUGUGAGAGGAUGACCAGCCGCACUGGAACUGAGACGCGGUCCAGACUCCUACGGGAGGCAGCAGUGGGGAAUUUUGCACAAUGGGCGCAAGCCUGAUGCAGCCAUGCCGCGUGUAUGAAGAAGGCCUUCGGGUUGUAAAGUACUUUCAGCGAGGAGGCGUUGCUAGCAGAAGAAGCACCGGCUAACUCCGUGCCAGCCGCCGCGGUAAUAC